rnacentral:lncRNA from 1 species
UUAUUAAAAGCAUAAAUGAAGUUAUUGUCAUCAUUAACAUUUAUGAAUAAACAAUAUAAGUUAGAUUCUAAUUUACCUUUUUGCAUGUAGUCAUAUUUCCUCUUCCUUGGUCGGGGUUGGAUGGGGUAGGAUGGGGUUGGAUGGGGUUGGAUACGGUUGGAUGGGGUAGGAUGGGGUAGGAUGGGGUUGGAUGGGGUAGGAUGGGGUUGGAUGGGGUUGGAUAGGAUUGGAUGGGGUUGGUAGGUAGGAUGGGGUUGGAUGGGGUAGGAUGGGGUUGGAUGGGGUUGGAUAGGAUUGGAUGGGGUUGACUGUCAUGCUCAGUGAGUUGGAGGGUUUUUUGAGGGUGACAGGACUUUCUCUCCGUCUUCUUUGGUUUGGUGUGGGUGUAGCUGGUCUCCUGAGUGGUGGGGGAUAUUGGGGGUUCAACCUGGUUGAGGAUGGGGGUGUAGCUGGUCUCCUGAGUGGUGGGGGAUAUCGGGGGUUCAACCUGGUUGAGGAUGGGGGUGUAGCUGGGCUCCUGAGUGGUGGGGGAUAUUGGGAGUUCAACCUGGUUGAGGAGGGUUGGAGGGUUGUAGUGUGGGGGUAUGGGUGUUGAUUGCCACUGUGAAAUAGAACAUAUUAAGGAAAUGGGACAGACAAGUGGGCAACAGUUUCCAAUUGGCAGAGGUGAGCAUGUACCGUAAAUUCCGGACUAUAAGCCGCAACUUUUUUUCCCAGGCUUUGAACCUCGCGGCUUAAACAAUGAAGUGGCUAAUAUAUGGAUUUUUCCCACUUUCAAUUUUUUUCUCUCCAAAAAAACACAUUCUGUGACGUGCUCAGUUUUUUGGCGGCAUGAAGCUUUCAUUAGACCAAUGAAAUUGCCGAACGGGUUAAGGUCAAACAACUUUUUUGUUUACUGUUUAGAUUAAAUCGAGCGCUCUCAAACUUCCCAUCAUUCUGAUUACGGUAGUCAUUUCGUCACCCUCAUCAUGGCAAAGACACGGAGAAAUGCAUAUGAUGCAGCUUUCAAGUUGAAGGCGAUUGAUCUGGCUGUUGGAAAAGGAAAUAGAGCUGCUGCACGGGAGCUUGGUAUUAAUGAGUCGAUGAUAAGACGUUGGAAACAGCAGCGUGAGGAAUUGACUCAGGGCAAAAAGACAACUAAAGCUUACUGCUAUUUUUUUUAUUUUUUUACAAGCCGUGUUUUGUUAAAGCCUAUUUAUUUUUGUUACAGGCCGUGUUUCGUUAAAGCCUAUUUAUUUUUGUUACAAGCCGUUUUUCGUUAAAGCCUGUGUAAAGUUCAUUUGUUUCAAUGUACCGGUAGGCACCUGCGGCUUAUAGACAUGUGCGGCUUAUUUAUGUUCAAAAUAAAAAAAACAUUUUAAUUCAGUGGGUGCGGCUUAUAUUCAGGUGCGCUUAAUAGUCCAGAAAUUCCGGUAUAUUUAAGCAAUAAGGCCCGAGGUGUGGUAUAUGGCAAUAUACCACGGCUAAGGGCUGUUCUUAUGCAUGACGCAAUGCGGAGUGCCUGGAUACAGCCCUUAACUGUGAUAUAUUGGCCAUAUACCACAAACCCCUGAGGUGCCUUAUUGCUAUUAUAAACUGGCUACCAAUGUAAUUAGAGCAGUAAAAAUAAAUGUUUUGUCAUACGGUCUGAUAUACCAAGGCAUUCAGACAAUCAGCAUUCAGGGCUGGAACCACCCAUUUUAUAAAUAAACUUCUACACAGGAUAUGUGAAAAGAAUGUGUUGAAAUGUUGCUUGCCUGAACUAACUCCUCUAC